rnacentral:lncRNA from 1 species
CUCCAGACCCAGACUUCACCCUCAGGUCACCCUCACCUGGACUUUGGGGUGCCCCACACCCCGCCCCAGGCCCUGGCCUCUGGAAUAUUUGGAAACUUGAACUGGGCCAGAGGCUUAAGCUCACAUCUGUCUGGAGCCUCAACUUUCUCCUCUGUAAAAUGGGCUAACACUGAAAGAACCUUGCAGAAUCUCAGCAACGUCACAGAGGACAUUGUUAGCACAGCCAGCGGGCUCCUGCUGGGCUGAGUUUGUGGGUAAUCCAAGCCUCGGCAGGUACAGUUCCUCCCUCAGCCCAGUGCAGAUGCAUCUGACUUACGAAACUUCAGUGACACCUGCUCUGUGCCAGACACUGAAGAUGGAGCAGUGAACAGCACUGACCCAGCCUGUCCUCCUGUUGCCUGCAGGCCAGAAGCAAGGUCUCGCUGUGUUACCCUGGCUGGAGUGCAGUGGCUACUUACAGGCAUGAUCAUAGCAUACUGCAGCCUCGAACUCCUGGACUAGAGCAGUUCUCCUGCCUCAGCCUCCAGAGCAGCUGGGACUGCAGACACGCACCACAGAGCCCAGCCUGAGUCAUUUUGAUUCUGUAACUGGCUUCCUCUCGGCGGGCAGGCUCACACCCUCCACCCCCAGCUGGAGAUGGAAGGAGGAUGCUCACCGCCCAUUCCUCAUGCAGGCCAUCGAUGGAAAUGUCAGACAGUGCGAGUCCACGCCUGAACACUUCUGGGGUCCGCUCUGGGACUGACACUGGCAGAUCCAUCGAUGCCGUUCCAUUGUUUGCUGACUUUCAUUGAUUCUAUGAGAAGUCUGCAGUCUUUUGCAGCGUUGUUUUCCUAUGUAUAAUUGUCUCCUCCCACCCCACUCACCCCAGCUGCUUUCCACAUUCUCUCUCUUUGAUUUUCAGCAGUCUGCCCAUGAUGUGCCUAAAUAGGACUUUCUUUGCAUUCAUCUUGGCUGGGGCUCACUGAACUUUCUGAAUCUGUAGAUUAAUUUUCUUUUUUCAAUAAACCUUGGAAUAUUUUCAGCAU